AAAGUAACAUUUUAAUGUGGAGCUUAGUAAUCGCCUAGAAUGAAUGGCGAUAUACAGUUUACUGCACCCUCCAAUGCGCAAAAGAGGCAGGAUGGCAAAAUUCAUGACUAUCUUAAGCAAGCCAGGAGACUGCUAAAAAGCCACCCCGGCUUUUCCUCCUCCACCAGCUGAGGCACCCGGUCUCCCGGUUUCCACACGCGUUCAGAGACACAAACUCACCCGCCGCUGAGGAAACGGUACUGCCUUCGCGACCUUCUGGGAUCCAGGUUACGAGUGCGCUCCACUGGUUCGAGAUUUCUGCCCGUCGCUCGCCAGGGAGACUGAGUGCCCAAGCGCCUACUCGCACAGGCCGCAAAUACAGCCGCGCUGCGCGGCGAGCUGAUGGAGGUCUUCCUCUUGCCCGGCGUGCACUGCGGCCGGGGGCGGGGAGCGCGGAACCAUAGAGAAGAACGUAUAUAGAUCGUCUCCGCUGUUGGCUCUGACUCACCAAGCCGAGACGAAUAACCAUAGAGAAGCAGCGUCUAGCGGUUACUAGAAAGGCCCGAACUGUAAAUUAUGACCCACCAUGUUUGAUUGGAGCCGACUGAAUCUUACGACUACGGGACGCCAUCUUGAGGUCAAGGUUCCGGCUGGGCACGGCGCGAGGAGUGUUAGAGGCUUUCUCACUUUUCGUAGUUUUUCGGGGGGUGGAACCUUGCUUUGUGAUUCCUUGAGGUUCGAGGAACUGAUAACUGGGCGCGAUCUGCAACCUUAGUGUUAAACCCCAAGUGCUGUUAUAACAACUACUCGAGAUCAACAAAUAAUUGGCAAAGGCUGUGGAGGUUUUUUGAAAAGCAAAAGCUUAUGCGUAGUUGUAGGGCCAAAGAGGUGGCUAGAAGAUGUUUGGAAAAACGUGAAAAGUCCUGUAAUACUAGUUAACACAGCUUUCGUUCUGUAAUCUAAACGUGCUAAAAGAACUUAGCUUAAGUUAAUGGAAAUGAAUAAAAUUAAUCAUAAAUGA
ensembl:lncRNA RBM25-AS1 RBM25 antisense RNA 1